rnacentral:rRNA from 1 species
UAGCGGAGGAAAAGAACUAACAAGGAUUCCCCUAGUAACUGCGAGUGAAGAGGGAAGAGCUCAAAUUUAAAAUCKGGCGGUCUCUGGCUGUCCGAGUUGUAAAUUAGAGAAGUGUUAUCCGCUCAAGCCUGUGCAAAAGUCUCUUGGAAAAGGGCAUCAUAGAGGGUGACAAUCCCGUCUUUGGCACAGAUCACUUGCGCUUUUGUGAUGCGCUCUCGAUGAGUCGAGUUGUUUGGGAAUGCAGCUCUAAAUGGGUGGUAAAUUCCAUSUAAAGCUAAAUAUGGGCGAGAAACCGAUAGCGAACAAGUACCGUGAGGGAAAGAUGAAAAGCACUUUGAAAAGAGAGUCAAACAGUAUGUGAAAUUGUUGAAAGGGAAACGCUUGAAGUCAGUCGUAUCCUUCAGAAAUCAACCUGACCUUUGGCUGGGUGCAUUUUUUGUUGGAUGGGUCAGCAUCAAUUUUGAUCAUUGGAUAAAGGACUUGGGAAUGUGGCAUCUUCGGAUGUGUUAUAGCCCUUGUUUGUAUACAAUGAUUGGGAUUGAGGAACUCAGUGUGACUUUGGUUUGGGGGUAUUGCACCUCACACACGCACUUAGGAUGCUGGCAUAAUGGCUUUAAUCGACCCGUCUUGAAACACGGACCAAGGAGUCUAACAUGCAUGCAAGUGUUUGGGUGGAAAACUCAAGCGCGCAAUGAAAGUGAAAGUUGAGAACCCUUUGGGGUGCAUCGACGCCCGGACUCGAUCUUUUGUGAGAGACCUGCGGUAGAGCAUGUAUGUUGGGACCCGAAAGAUGGUGAACUAUGCCUGAAUAGGGUGAAGUCAGAGGAAACUCUGAUGGAAGCUCGUAGCGAUUCUGACGUGCAAAUCGAUCGUCAAAUUUGGGUAUAGGGGCGAAAGACUAAUCGAACCAUCUAGUAGCUGGUUCCCCCAAUU